UUGAAGCUGAUUCGUGCUUUAUUUAAAGCAGACAGUAGGCAGCAAACAAGGAAGAGUUUGCAAACUACAUCUCGAAGGACGUUUUGUUUGUGUGUUGUCGUUUCUUGCGUUCCAUCUGGGAGGCUCUGUUGAUGUGUAUGGCUACCUGUAAGAGAGCACUGAUGAAGAAUGGAGAAGAUGUAAAAUAGAGCUCGCCAAAGGUUUUAAAAAUAAAUCAAGAAAUGAGUGAAUGAAGGCAGAAGCGCCCAGAAAGAAGGUCAGGACCCCAGUGGAUGCCAGAAACUGCAGAUACUGUCGGAUCCUACUUAUUCCUGCUCCUGAAUGUGCACAAUCAUCCCUUACUUCAAAUAUUACAGAUACAUCUUUCUGAUUGAACACUGACUGAUAAAGAAGUGAUAUUUGAGGACAGUUCCUACAAAGAAUUCUCGUAUUAUAAUGAAUGUUACUUAGAUGUCAACAUCACCUGCAAGAGAACACACAUAUUAUUUUUCAAGCAAAUCCUGAGCACGCUAUAAAAUUUAGAGGAAAGCAUGGACGUGAGGACUGAGAAAUGGAAACAAUGAGGAGCUCUGAGGAGUCCAGUGUCUGCCUUGCCAACGUGGAAAAAGACUGCAUCUGAACUCAGCUUCUCAUGGGCCUAUGGCUCCUACCGGAGAGGAGAGAUCAGAGAUAACUUCUAUAGCCAGUUGCCAUCCACAUUCAAAAUGCCUAGCAUCCACCUUGUCUGGGACUCUUUUCAUCGAGUUGGAGAUUCAGACAUCUCAAAACCAUCUUGGGCAUCAUCUCUGCCCAAGCGACAGCAUCGCCACACCAGGUCUCCUUAGAAGAUUUUCUCUUGCACUUGUGCUUCCAAUCUAUUUUUUCAACCC
rnacentral:lncRNA from 1 species